rnacentral:lncRNA from 1 species
GGUUAGGGUUUUCGCUAAACAGCGUAGACUCGCCGAGUCCAUAUCUGGACUCGUCGAGUCCAGUUGCGAACCCGCGACCAAGUCUGCGAUCCUACUUGGCGAGUCUAGGCUCCGACUCGCCGAGUCCCCUCUUAAAUCACCCCAAAAACAUAGUUUAACAAUACCUGAGAUUUCGGGCUGUUACAAAACAUGCCACUGAAAAGUUCAAUGAAUCUCAAAAGAUCUAGGAGUUUCAAUACAUUUAAAACUUAAUUUCUCUUUUGUUUUUCAUGGUGGAUAUUAGUGAAUCGUAAUUCACUUACCUUCAAAUUAUUUGCAGUUUGGAUUACAACAUCCCUCUUCUAAAUUGUAAAUAAUGUUGUUGGAUCCUAGCCCUAAUUUAUUUUUGGUGUUUAAUUCGGGAUUCUUAUCUAAUAAAACUUUGUCUCUUUUCUAUUUCAGAUGUCUAUUUCAAACAAGAACGCUUCUGGCUCGACCCCUUCCUGCUCGUUCUCUCUCAUGAACUUGUGUGGGAGGGUGAUUUUCGAUGGGAGCAAUUUCAAUGAUUACAUCCGCAACAUCUGCAUGGUCAACCGCUACGAGGACAAGGAGUAUGUUCUCGAUAAGGAGCUAAAAGAGGUAUAUGCCAACACUGCUACUCUCUAAGAAAUCGCUACUUUUGAGGCUCACGAGUGAGAGGCUACGAAAGUCCGUUGCAUCAUGCUAAUGACCAUGACCGCUCAACUCCAAAAGUCCUACGAGGACUACUACCCAUACGAGAUGCAUCAAGAUUUGAUGGAUAUGUACCAUCAAAGCGCGAGGCAGGAAAAGUACGAGAUCAUCGCCACGAUGAUCACUACCAAAAUGAAGGACGGAGAGUCUGUCAUGGCCCACCUGCAAAAAAUGUAGAGAUACGUGGACUGCUUGCUGAAGUUAAAUGUUAACUUCGAUGAGGAGCUGGCCAUAUAUAUCAUUCUUCACUCUUUACCUACCCGUUACAACCAGUUCCACAUGACCUACCACAUGAACAAGGAGGAGGUCACUCUAAACAACUUUCAAGGCUUGCUAAGGGAUGCAAGCUGCUUCUAUGUGACUUUUACCGAUGAUUAUAGUAGAUAUGGAUAUGUCUACUUAAUCAAGCACAAGUCAGAAACCUUUGAAAAGUUCAAAGAGUUUAAACAAGAAGUGAAGAAUCAGUUGGGCGGGAAAAUUAAGACGCUCUGAUCCGAUCGAGGUGGUGAGUACCUUAGUCUUGAAUUGUUUGAUUACCUCAAGGAAUGCAUAAUUGUUUUGCAAUUGACGCCACCUAGGACACCAUAGUUGAAUAGUGUGGCUGAGAGGCGCAAUCGAACCAUAUUGGAUAUGGUUCAUUCCAUGAAGAGUCGUGCUUAGAUACCUAUCUCAUUUUGGGGGUAUGCCUUAGAGACUACCGCCCAUAUCCUUAAUCUAGUCCCGACUAAGAAGGUUGCCAAAACACCUCACAAGAUGUGGAAAGGGAAAGCUCCCUCGUUGGCACAUAUCAAGGUUUGGGGUUGCGAGGCUUUCGUAAGACGAGAGACUCACAAUAAACUCGAACCUUGUAGUGAGCGAUGUAUUUUCAUCGGCUACCCGCAGAAGUCCUUUGGAUAUCUCUUCUAUAGACCGAGCGACAAUGUUGUCUUCGUUGUGAGGAGAGGGGUUUUCCAAGAGCUAGAACUCAUAAGCCAAGAGGACAGCGGAAGGCAAAUUGAUAUUGAAGAGCUUCAAGAAUCAAGGGACGAAGGAACCUAUAAUGUUGGUGCUCAACCCGAGGAGUAAACUCCGGUUGAACCNGGGCUGUGAAGUUUUCGUAAGACGAGAAACUCACGACAAACUCGAACCUUGUAGUGAGCGAUGUAUUUUCAUCGGCUACCCGCAGAAGUCCUUUGGAUAUCUCUUCUAUAGACCGAGCGACAAUGUUGUCUUCGUUGUGAGGAGAGGGGUUUUCCAAGAGCUAGAACUCAUAAGCCAAGAGGACAGCGGAAGGCAAAUUGAUAUUGAAGAGCUUCAAGAAUCAAGGGACGAAGGAACCUAUAAUGUUGGUGCUCAACCCGAGGAGUAAACUCCGGUUGAACCGAUUAACGAGUACCUACCUCUUAUACGUUCCAAUAGAGUUAGUGUUCCACUCGUGCUGUAUGGUUUUCAUAUAACAAGUGAGGGUGAUACGUUUAUUAGUGAUAGUAUACUAGUAAAUUUGGAUGAACCUAACAGCUACAAGGAAACCUUGGAAGGCUCGGAGUCUGCAAAGUGGAAAGAGGCCAUGGAUAAUGAGAUUCAGUCCAUGUAUGAAAAUCAAGUUUGGAACUUGGUUGACAAUGUACCAGUUCGUAAGACGGUCAGGUGCAAAUGGAUCUUCAAGAAGAAGACCGAUAUGGAUGGGAAAGUAUACACUUAUAAAGCGCGAUUGGUUGCGAAGGGCUUUACUCAAAGUCCCGUAGUUGACUAUGACGAGAUCUUCUCACCAGUAGCGAAUAUAAAGUUUAUAAGGGUUAUGCUAGCCAUAGCUACGUUUCAUGAUUACAAAAUAUGGCAGAUGGAUGCCAAAACCACUUUUCUUAAUGGAAAGUUGGCUGAAGAUGUUUACAUGAGUAAGCCAGAGGGUUUUAUCGAUGCAAAACACCCUAAUAGAGUGUGUAAACUUGAGAAAUCCAUUUAUGGAUUGAAACAAGCAUCUCACAGAUGGAAUCUUUGUUUUGAUGAUAAAGUCAAAGAGUUUGGCUUCAUGCGAAGCGAGGAUGAGUCUUGUGUGUAUGUCAAAUCCAGUGGGAGUAUAGUUAGCUUUCUCAUUCUGUAUGUCGAAGACAUACUACUCAUAGGAAAUGACGUCCCAACCCUGCAGGAAGUUAAGUCCUGGCUUGGGAAGUGUUUCACUAUGAAUGACCUCGAAGAAGUUGUGUAUAUUCUUGGGAUAAAGAUAGUGAGAAACAGGAACAAAAGACUAAUAGGACUUAGUCAAAGUACUUACUUGGAUAAAGUACUAGAGCGUUUAAGUAUGGAAAAUUCCAAGAAAGGGGAGUGACCAAUCCAAACCAAUACCAAGUUGAGUAAGACUGAAAGCCCGAGUAUCGAAGCCGAGAUAGUAGAGAUGACCCGAGUACCUUAUGCUUCCACAGUGUCACACCCCAAACCUGAACGGCGGAAACAUUCGGGAUGUGGAGGACGUCAUGUAUAAUAUCAUAACAAUUGAAUAGUAAAGAAAGUACACAUCACCAUAGUAUAAAUAUAUUUGAAAAGUUUACAUGAUUGUAUGUGUUACAUGUUUGAAUAUCCUAUACUCUAUGGUGAUCCAAAAUAUGUUACUAACGCCAGCGCGUUAGUAUUCAAAAGUAGUUGCUACCUGGUUUAGCGUUUUCCUGAGAUUACAAGUUAUUCCAAAGAAAAAGUGUCAACAAUAAAGUUGGUGAGUUCAUAAGUAGUGUUUUGAGAAAAUGUAUGUCAUUUGAAAGUUCAUGAUCGUUUUCCAGAAAAUCUGAUAUUUUCUUAUGAGUAUAUGAAAUGAGUAUGAAUAAUUGUUGUAUAAAUUGUAUGUAUUUGAACCAGGAAAAUCCUAUAUUUUCCUAAAAGUGAAAUGCAGUCUCAAAUGUCCAAGACCGUAACCUGUAAGCAACUAUGACAUGCUCAAAAGAAUGAUGUAUAGUCUUAUUAUAAAAAAAACUAUAAGAAGAUUUGUAUUUGAAUGUGAAAAGAAAUGUAUUUGCUACUUUUCCCGUGAAAACCUAAUACCAUAAUAAUUGUCUAUCCAGUGAGUUUUUAUAACCGUACUAUCAUAAUUUUCCAAUAGCGACGUUCUUCAGGCGUCGAAAUGAGAUGACACUUGUCACCCCGGGGACUGUAGCUAGCAGUCAGGGCGUGGGAUCAUUAGUUCCGUAUAGAUCUAUACACACUUGUCACAUUCUCCGGACGGGAGAUUCUGGUUAUAAACAGGACUUCUAGCGGUACCUUAAAAGGUAUAUUGAAGAUGAAUGACUCACAAAUUCUCGAUUAAGUCACAUAUUAGAAUGAAUAUGUUUGUCUCUAAAAUAAUUACCCUUUUCUAUAGUUUUGACAAGGCAUAAUAAUGAUUUGUAAGUUCUUUCAUGUUUAUGAAUGUUGUAGUAAAAAUGGUUACCCUUGAUAUGAUGCAAACUUAUAAAUAAAACUUUAAAUAUUCAUAAUUAUGUUUUAUCCCGAGAGGGUAAAGUGGUGUAAGAUAUUUGCAUGUUAACAAAAUCCAUGUUAUAGUUAUAAAAACAACAUGAAAUGUAUAACAAAAAAUUGAUGUUUUCACAUGGGAUUAACCAUGUGUUUACUUGUACCUCCUCCCCCUGUUAAAGUGAUCAAAAGCAUUUAAAAUCAGUUAAAAGCGUAGAAAUGGGGGUAUGAACUCACUUGAUUGAAGUGGUGGCUUGAAGAAGUCAAGACUAAAAAUUGAGCAGAACUUCGACUAGAAAAGCUGAUUUCUAGGGAAUCUCGGGAGCGUCGGGACUUGCGUUGCAUGCUAGGGAUAACACUAGAGCUUCGAGGUGGUUUAGAGGGGCUUGUGAGGUGUUUCGAGGUGAAAGAAUUGAGAGGAAAGCAAACAAAUCCGGGCAACUACGCAUUUCUUAUAUAGGCUGGCUAACUCCUCGUAUGCAGGGCGUUCCUGCGAGGAGCGCUGGGCGUUCUGGAGCGUAGGGCGUUCCUGGCUCGUAUGCAGCGUGUUCAACAGCACCUUGAGAUCAUCGCUUACCUUAGCCUCGAACGGAGUACCCUGAUGCGACCCGGGGGGACGUGGACAAAUUGAGACCUAUCCUUGUGAACGCGGGGCCAGCCUCGAGUUUUGUGUCCAGAACUUGUAAAAUCCGUAAUUUUCUCAUACGAUCUCUGUUUUCGACGUUCUUUAUAUCCACGCGUAGGGGGGAACAUAGUCUACAACUUUUGUUUAGACUCCGUCGGCUAGUUUUGAAUUUAUUUUUAAUACUAUAUUUUUAAUAGGUCGGGACUGGAAAAGUCCGUUAAAAAUCAAUAACUUCUUCAUCCGACGUCCGUUUUCGUCUGUCUUUUUACCGUUGUACAACUAUUGAUGAGACCUUGGAUUCUCGUUUAGGUUGUGUCGGCUAAAAAUCGCUCGAUCUCUAUUUCGAGUUUUUAGCUGUCUACCGCUAUUCCAAAACUUCAAAAAAUCAUAACUUCCUCAUACGAAGUCAGAUUUGGACGUUGUUUUAUGUACGUUUAUGGUUUAAUGAUAUCUACGACUUGUAUUUAGAUACCUAAGGCUAAAAACUAUUUUACUGGAAUUUUGUAUUUUAUGCUUAAUAAUGUUUUACUGGUUUUGUUACGGAGCUUCGAUUGGUCAUAACCUCUUCGUUAUAAUCCGGAUUUUAGUGUUCUUUAUAUUUCUAAAAACCUUGUUACGAUAUCUACCACUUGGUACAUCCCAAUUAUGGUUGCUGAACAAAUCAUUUUUGAACUAGUUUUUUGCUGGUGUUACAUUAUCCCCCGUUAGAGGGAAUUUCGUCCCGAAAUUCGCAUUUUGAAUGGGACUUGAAUAGCUGAGGAAUGAUGUGUGUACUUCAAUUCCAUUUGAUCCUCUUGUCCUCGAGUGAAUCCAAAUCCCAGUGUGGGUGUUCCAUCGAUUCUUCAUUACUUCGUCUAUUCCUUCGAACGAUAGAGGUCGUGUAGGUUUAUGGUUUAUUUACUUAUGUUCAUCUAAACGUUAGCAUGUUCAUUCGUAGCUUAGGGCAACUCUGUCCUGAAGUUCAUGGUUGAAUUCACUUCUAGUUUCUGUGCUUGAAGUUGAUUUGUUGUACGCGUGCUAUUUCUAAAUGAUAUGUUGGGAAUACUUCGGGAAGGUUGGAAAAGGAUAUAGUACUCCUCACAUGAGUGCUACGAGAUUUUGAAACUAGAAACGAUUUGAGAGUUGUGUCGGGUUUGUCGUUAUAGGUUAGAAGAGUUUUAUUAGUCGGUGGUUAACGCAAAGGAUCUUUUCAUAAAAUAUGCAAUUGGUAUGGUGAAGACCAAGCCAAUCCAUUUCUAGUAGCUACUUGGGAACUUCUUAUCGUAACAAUUGUGAAGUCGAUCAGGAAAAGUGUUAUUACUACUACGAAGGUUUUGCUUCAUGAUUUGGGGUGCUUGUUUGAAAAGAUUUUUAAAUUUAAGACUCACGAAACUCCUCUCUGCUCCACUAUAAAUUAAAAUGCAUGCUAAUGUGCUAUCGAGGAAAAAUGUACCUGUAACAAUAGUGGGGUCUGCAACGGCUUCCUCCUGGUCCAUUACGAAUACUUGGCCACUUCCCCUCGUAUUCUUGUUGUUUGCGUUCGGGCAGUCCCUUUAGAAGUGCCCCAUUGCUCCGCACUCAUAAUAAGUACGGUCUACUACGACAUUUGUGGCUGGAGCGGUCGGUUGGGUUGGUUCCCUGCAGUAGCGGACGAUGUGUCCCUUACUGUUGCACCUAGUGCAAUGCAUUUCACGACAGGGUCCGUGAUGAUGAAAGUUGAAUUGGUUGCACUUAGGUUGGUGUGACAACCCAAAAUUUCUAUUCUGUACAAACAUAUCAAGUCAAUAGAAGUCAGAACAGUUGUUGUUAAUUUUCAGACUUUUUAGAAUAAGUUUGAGUAUUUCAAGAUUCACACUUUAGAGAUAUCAGGAGGGAGGAUGAAUUAGGGUUUAUAGUGCAACAAUAAAGUCCCGACACAUCAAAAGUUUGGAUUUUACGGCCUAAACUUGGUGUUUAUGGUCAUAAACCCUAAAGGGGAGGGGUAUAAAAGUGGCACUUAGGCAUUUUUAGCAUUUUUCCACCUUUUCAAGAUGAAAUCUCAAACUCUCUCAAGUAUCAUCCAAAGUUUUCUUCAAGAUCAUCAUUUAGUAAGUGAUUCUAGCUUUCUUAAGUGAUUAUAUGCUUUGAUCUAGUGUUUUAACACACUUCUAACCAUGAAAUCAUUCCAAAAAGGUUGAUUCUUCCUUUUCAGCAAGAACACCAAGAACACACACUAGUGUUCUUGGCCUUUUGGUACCUUUCAAGCUUCCAACUAGUAAGUAUUCCUACCCUAGUGUAUUGUAAGGCUUGUUAUACAUCUUCACAUCAAGUAAAUGUCCCAAGAACACCAAGAACAAGGUGUUCACGGUUCAAGAAGUCCUUGAACCGUAAACACCAAGUAAAGGUGCCAAAGGGUGCCUUAGGGUGCCUUAGUCCUUCACAAUGCCUUAGGGACAUGUCUAGAUCCUUCCUUGAUGUGUUUAUCACAUAAAAAGGCACAAAAAUCUCUCAUUUAUAUGUGUUUACGGUUUGGGGAGCUCCCAAAACCGUAAACACCCCAAAGUAUGUAUAAAUGCCCCAUAUUCCUUCCUAUGCCUUAGUAACUAGCAUGGAUCCCUUCUUUGAUGAGCUAAGGACUUGAAACCCCCAAAAUACCAUAAACCUUAUGAGUUUACGGUAGUAAACUCAAAGGAAAAUGGUUUAGGAACCGUAAACUCCAAAUAUGAGUGAAAUGGGGCCAUAUUUCCUUCCUUAGUCACAUACUUCAAGUAGAAAAGCUUCUAGGGACUUUUAAGGAUUCAAAAAACAAAUGGUCAAAAAGUGUGUGAGCUUACGACCAUAAACUCAAGGGUUUACGACCGUAAACUCUUUUGGUUGUGACCACAAAACCGUAAACUCCCUAAUGGAGUUUUCCUUGAACCCCAAGCACACUAGCCUUUUCCUACAACACUUAGAUGCAAUCCUUGGGACUUAUAACACUUGUAUAAGGUGUUUAGCAUGUCCUAGGGUGUCUUAAGUUUUUUUAUUAGUUGUUUAAAGACUAAUUGGAUACAUAUAUGUGAUAUUAUAUGUUAACUAGGAUCAUAGAGUGUGUUCAAGACUUCACUUGACACCUAGCAAUCCUACAUCUUCAGUUCAUCCGUACCACUCACUACAGGUGAGUUCAUACCCCUUAAUCAAUGGUUUAAAUGUUUUUAAAUGCUUUUAUGGGUGGGGGGAUACAAGUUAAAUACUUAUAGUUAUUACAUCAAUCACAUGUGAUUAAUAACUACAAAACCAAUGGUUUUCUUACUGUUCAAACUGUUUUGCUUCAAACCGUUUUGCAAAAUCUUUUACUUAUCAAAUACUUUUACUUAAACUCUUUUAUACUUAUUAUCAAAUGCAUGCCUAUGUAUGUAUAGUUAUAAUGUUUAAAGGGCCUAGGAAGGACAGCUCGCUUUAUCUCAUUUUCCUCGUUGGGAUGUGCUGUAGGGCAUCGGUUAUCCGUCCGAAGGUCGUCUAAAUAUUAGUUAUAUAUUAUGUAUACAUAUAUAGACAUAAAGGUUCUUCCAGUUAAUUCAAUACUCUUGGGUAGAAAGGGUAUACUUCCAUGUUCAUACAUACCAGUUACAUUACUAGUAAGCUACCAUAAGGGUAGCACAUGAAGAUACUAAUACUAUUACUAGAACAAUGAAACAUACAAUGAGUCAGUUCAUUCAUGAGUCAGUACGAGUAGCUCAUACAGUACAUUACUAUACAUGCUAGAUAGAGAGAUAACAUACGUUACAGUUAGCACACGCAGAACAUUACAGUACAUACAGGCUGGACAGAGAAAGAGUACACUUUAUAGUUAGCACAUUUAUCACAUGUACAUUCAUGCAGUUACAUGAACCAUUAAGCGGGUCAUGGCACUUCCUGCCAUGACCGUUUUUGUAUCCCGAAUCUCCUUAAUUGGGGAGCGUAUGAGUUUGCGCAUAGAUCUAUACUUGAUUGACUAUCCUACACCUUGCUGCUCGCUACAGUGGGACUUCCAAGUCUACGGGUGCCAAAUGUCAUUUCUUACGGCGUCUUACAUCAUCGUUUUACUAGAUUCGGUAGCAGGAUACAGGUCAAUCACAUGUUACUUUGAACACCUUUUGUUUUAAGGGAGUUAGUACAACGGUUGUCACCUAUUACAAAUACUACGGUACUAUGAUAUUUUCCCAUUACAUUCACUUCGUGAAUAUUCACACGAUGCAUGGUAAUGUAAAAACUAUAUUUUUGGUUAAUGAUAGUCAGAAUUGAGAAAACACACACUAUUACAAGAGACACACGCAUAGACACUAGAUGCCUUGGUAGAAGGCUACAGUUAGUAGGAAACAUAGGGUUUUCUAGGAGAGUACAAAACAUCUUACAAAACAUUUUUAAAAACAUCUUGCAAACAUUUUACAAAUGCUUUCAUACAAACACAAACAUUAAUAUACUUAUGAUCUCACCAACUUUAAAGCUGAUACUCGCUUUCAAAAUAACUUGUAUUCUCAGGUCACCAGUAGACAGGUACAGGUGCCAGGUUUUUGAGAAAAUGGAGUUUUUUCAAGACUCGUCUUUUAUUUUGAUAUGUAUAUUUUGGUGUCUAUAUAAACUUGACAAAACACACAUGUAUGAAAUUAUAUUAUUAAUGCAAUGGAUGAUGUUGGUGCUUGUUUACUAUUAUUCAUUGUUGUGAUACCGUACAUGACGUCCUCCGCCCUAGAACGUUUCCGUCGUUCAUGGUUUUGGGGUGUGACAGUUGGUUGUCAUUGUACGACCUUGUGGGUGUGGGGGUGGUAGGAACAGUAAAAACAUGAGCUGUCACUAUCUGUUGUCUUUUGGUAGACCCUUGUUUUGAACUGCCCCCUUUUUCACUCCCGAACUUUCAUUUUGUGUUACUAGGUUUGUGGUUUGGAGUAUCCUUGUGGCAAGACAUUUGUUUAUUUCCUUGGUUGUCACAAACAUUUGAAUUUUUGACCUCCUUCCUAGUUUUACUAGUGUUUCUUGCGUUGAGAUAUGCCAUAAUGACUGUCACAGUGGUUUUGGCCGCAACUUGAAAAGUAGCUGAGUCUAUAUGCAGGAGUGGUGUUUUGUUGGUUGGUCGGUUACUUCCAUGUGAAGGCAUGAUUCUUUUACAUGAUGCAAAACGAGUUGGUUAGAUAACUAUGAUCGUUGGAUUCUAUAAAUAUAAUUUCCUCAUUUUGUUAUUCGGUUUCUAAUGUUUCAAAUUACAUUCCUUAUGAUGUAUUUGUGAUUAAGGGUUGAAAUAGGUAUCGUAUUUAAGUUUAGUUUUAGCAAUUUAGGGUAGGGAUGUUGAAAUCUUAAUUCGAUCUAGUUUCAUGGGUUUUGGGAGAGGGUAUCUUUCUUACUAUUCCGAGUUAUGAAGAAGGUUGUGAUGUACCUAUCUCAUAGUGUGAGUAAUAUAAUUACCAACUCAUUAUGUAAUAAUAAUUAUUACUUAUUAGUCCGACGUAUCAGGUUCUCUACCACCUCGCAUGCUUCACGAGUGGUUUGCUCUGUUCUCUGUCCUAUCCUCAGUGGUACUGAUUUGUUAUAGCCUGGUAUCUAUAUUUAUGACGUCCUUGCUUUUCCUCAAGCAUGUUGAAUCUCUGUCAUUGUUUGGAUCGCCCUUAGUUGAAGUUGUAAAGGUUUGUUAUUCUAUGGUAACUGUCUCUUUCUCUAAAGGGUGUAGGUGUUAUAAAAGUUGGAAUUAUCGAAGGAUUUAGUCUGUUUGGAUAGCGAGAAAGCAUUUCCUUCUAUAGGGUUACAUAUGAAAUGGUGGCAAGACUUCGCCAGUGUUGAACUACAAUAGAUUAUAUCGACAGGGACAGUGUAGUGAGUUGCUAUAACAGUUUAUGACGCGAACUGUUUACAUAGCCCAAAGCUUGGAUUGAUAAUGAUAAUUUUUAAAAGAAAUAAGAAGUCUAUUAUAGUAGUUGGUAUAGAAGUUACAUAGAAUUCGGUGAACUUGACCUUGGCGUACGUCUACAACACACCACAUAGGGAAAAUUUGACAGCAUAGAGGUCUAGUGAAACAAUAAUUGAUAGAUGGGGAUGUUUACAUGAAAAGAGUACUACUUGGAGUAUGUACAAGGGUUAUUCCACAAUCCAAAAGAAAGGGAGAGUAAAGUUUCCUCUACUUGUGAGGGGAAUUGUUGUGAUUGGUACUUUGUUCAGCCCUGGUUUCAGCCAGCUGCUGUUUCGCUUCCCAUAUGCGUCUUUGUAGUGCCACUUGGUUCUGACGAAGAUCCUUGGUCUCAGAUCGACAGUCAUUCAACUCCACCUGUAAGGCGUCAGUACGAGAUCUUUCAAAGUCCUGUUCCUUGAUCAGAUGACGAAGAUGAAUUGUGUUGACUCCAGAGUUAGCACAGAUCUCCCUGACUUCAGUUUGAGCUGCAAUUAGCUCUCUUUUCCAAGCUUCAUUUUGGUUUACGACUCUACCAUGUGCUAAUCCUAACUGUCAGAUGCGAACUGUAUUGACUCUAGUGUUCGCAUCAUUCUCCUCGGUUCGUUGGAUAGUUGCCCUUUCUUGCUCAUCAUUGCGGGAAAUAAGUCGAACCAAUAUAGGAAGGACUCUAUCUAAUGAGCCUCCCUUACUCAGAUUGUAGAAGCUUUGGUCUCCAUUGUAUGUAAUGGGUGGACCUUGUUCGCGACUCCAUCUAUUCAGGUUGGUUGGCCAUAGAGGUGUCGAGCCAUGAAAUUCCGGUCGGGGAUUAGGAUUUUGGAUCAGAGUCACUAAGGGUAGGUUUUUGUCCUCGGGAUUUGGUUUUGAGUCUUCUUGCAUUUCUUCUUCUGGAUCAUUUUCUAUCCAUCCCCCAUUGUCUUGGUUCGGGUAGUAUAGGUCUCCUAGUAGAUGGAAUCCGGCCAUUGCGUCUGUACGAGAAUAUGGAUAUAAGAAUUGUCUAGAACUAAGGCACAUAAGGUUGAACCUCAAUGUUAAACUAUUGUAUGCAUAAAAUACUCAUAUAGUAUUCUAAAUGUUAUGUUUGAUUCUAAGGUUUAUAAGUCUGGUAAGUUUUAGACUUGUUGUCCACUGUAGCUAUCCCCUGGCAUAUGCUGGUCGACUCUCGGACAAAUAUAGUUGAUCAAGCUAUAUUCAUCCUAGUCUCGAUUACAUAUUCCAAGGCAUACCUGUAUUGCCCAACUCAAAUAUAAUAGUUCUAUAUUGUUUUCAUUAUGAUACUGACCCUGUUAUAUAAUGUAUGCAUGUAUAUUUUAUAAAAACUUCAUUUUAAAAGUAUAACUCUCAGUCAGAGUGUUUUUGGCCAGUUGUGUUUAUAGUUGUAUAUAAAAAAAAUGGUUUUGAUAUACUUAGUUCACUAUAAACAAUGCUCUGAUACCAAUCUGUCACUCCCCUAAACCUAAACGGCGGAAACAUUCGGAGGAUGUCAUGUACAGUAUCCUAACAAUUGAACAGUAAAGAAAGUAGACACCACCAUAAUAUAAAUAUAUUUGAAAAGUUUACAUGAUUGUAUGUGUUACAUGUUUGAAUAUCCUAUACUAUAUGGUGAUCCAAAAUAUGCUACAAACGCCAGCCGUUAGUCUUCAAAAGUAGUUGCUACCUGGUUUAGCGUUUUCCUGAGAGUAUAAGUUAUUCCAAAGAAAAAGUGUCAACAAUAAAGUUGGUGAGUUCAAAUGUAUGCCAUUUGGAAGUUCACGAUCGUUUUCCAGAAAAUCCGAUAUUUUCUUAUGAGUGUAUGAAAUGAAUAUGAAUGAUUGCUGUAUAAAUUGUAUGUAUUUGAACCAGAAAAAUCCUAUAUUUUCCUAAACGUGAAAUGCAGUCUCAAAUGUCCAAGACCAUAACAUGUAAGAAACUAUGACAUGCUCAAAAGAAUGAUGUAUAGUCUAAUUAUAAAACAAUACUAUAAGAAGAUUUGUAUUUGAAUGUGAAAAGAACUGUAUUUGUUACUUUUCUUGUUAAAACAUAAUACCAUAAUAAUUGUCUAUCUAGUGAUUUGUUAUAACCGUACUAUCAUAAUUUGCCUGUAGCGAGGUUCUUCAGGCGUCGAAAUGAGAUGACACUUGUCACCCCGGGGACUAUAGCUAGCAGUUAGUGUGCGGGAUCAUUAGUCCCGUAUAGAUCUAUACACACUUGUCACAUUCUCCGGACGGGAGAUUCUGGUUAUAAACAGGACUUCUAGCGGUACCUUAAAAGGUAUAUUGAAGAUGAAUGACUCACAAAUUCUCGAUUAAGUCACAUAUUAGAAUGAAUAUGUUUGUCUCUAAAAUAAUUACCCUUUUCUAUAGUUUUGACAAGGCAUAAUAAUGAUUUGUAAGUUCUUUCAUGUUUAUGAAUGUUGUAGUAAAAAUGGUUACCCUUGAUAUGAUGCAAACUUAUAAAUAAAACUUUAAAUAUUCAUAAUUAUGUUUCAUCCCGAGAGGGUAAAGUGGUGUAAGAUAUUUGCAUGUUAACAAAAUCCAUGUUAUAUAUAAAACCANNNNNNNNNNNNNNNNNNNNNNNNNNNNNNNNNNNNNNNNNNNNNNNNNNNNNNNNNNNNNNNNNNNNNNNNNNNNNNNNNUGUGUUUACUUGUAUUCCCCCCGUAAAGUGAACAAAAGCAUUUAAAAUCAGUUAAAAGCGUAGAAAUGGGGGUAUGAACUCAGUUGAUUGAAGUGGUGGCUUGAAGAAGUUGAGACUAAAAAUCGAGCAGAACUUCGACUAGAAAAGCUAAUUUCUCGGGAAUCUUGGGAGCGUCGGGACUUGCGUUGCGUGCUAGGAAUAAUACCAGAGCUUUGGGGUGUUUUAGAGGGGCUUGCAAGGUGUUUCAAGGUGAAAGAAUUGAGAGGAAAGCAAACAAAUCCGGGCAACUUCGUAGGGCGUUCCUGGCUUGUACGCAGCGCGUUCAGCAGCGCCUUGACGUCAUCGCUUACCUCAGCCUCGGACGGAGUACCCUGAUGUGACCCGGAGCGACGUGGACUAACCGAGACCUAUCCUUGCGAACGUAGGGCGUUCCUUCGGACGAACCUCGAGUUUUGUGUCCUGAACUUGUAAAAUCCAUAAUUUUCUCGUACGAUCUCCAUUUUCGACGUUCUUUAUAUCCACGCGUAGGUGGAAAUAUACUCUACAACUUUUGUUUAGACUCCGUCGGCUAGUUUUGAUUUAUUUAUAAUAUUAUAUUUUUAACAGGCCAGGACUGGAAAACUCCGUUAAAAAUCCAUAACUUCUUCAUCCGAGGUCCGUUUUCAUCUGUCUUUUUACCAUUGUACAACUAUUGACGAGACCUUCGAUUAUCGUUUAGAUUAUGUCGGUUAAAAAUCGCUCGAUCUCUAUUUCGACUUUUUAGCUGUCUACCGCUAUUCCGAAACUUCGAAAAAUCAUAACUUCCUCAUAUAAAGUCAGAUUUGGACGUUCUUUUUAUGUACGUUUACAGUUUAAUGAUAUCUACGACUUUCAUUUAGAUACCGAAGGCUAAAAAGUAUUUCAUUGGAAUUUCAUAUUUUAUGCUUAAUUGUGUUUUACCGGUUUUGUUGCGGAUUUUCGAUUGGUCAUAACGUCUUCGUUAUAACCCGAAUUUUAGUGUUCUUUAUAUUUCUGAAAACCUUGUUACGAUAUCUACCACUUGGUACAUACCAAUUAUGGUUGCUGAACAAAUCAUUUUUAACCUAAUUUUUUUGCUGGUGUUCACGUAGUUGCGUCGAUCAUGUAUGCUAUGACUUGUACUCGUCCUGAUGUGGUCUUCGCUUUGAGCAUGGUCAGCAGAUAUCAAGGGAACCUUGAUAGAGCACAUUGGACCGCAGUCAAGAAUAUUCUUAAGUACCUUUAGAGGACUAAGGAAUGGUUUAUUAUACUUAGUAGGAGUGAUGACUUAAGGGUGCGAGGGUAUAGUGACGCAAGUUUUCAGACCGACCAAGACAACUUCCGCUCUCAGUCGGGAUGGGUCUUUACCCUCAAUGGGGGAGCAGUGACUUGGAAAGUUCCAAGCAGAUGACCGUAGCUGAUUCAAUGUGCGAAUCGGAGUACAUAGUAGCGAGUGAAGCGUCAAAGGAGGCAAUAUGGUUGAAGAACUUCAUCGGAGACAUAUCGAUAGGAAAUAUUCUUACAUUAGACAUCGGGUAGAAGAGGGACUCCUCGUAGUAAAGAGGGUAUCGUUAGAAGAAAAGCCAACAGAUCCCCUUACGAAGGGAGUGAGUAGGGUUAAGCACUUGUAGCACGCUAGGAGCAUUGGGCUGAAGGACGAUAUUAGUUUUAGUGAUUAGAUACCCAUAGAACUUGUAAUAGAUAAAUUGUAAUUGACAUUUUGAUGAUUAAAUAAAGGAGUAUUAUUUAUGAGUAAUGUUACUGUCAUAUGUCAAUUAUUUACUAUUGUUUCAUUUUGCAUGUUUUGACUUUCUAAAUAAUAAGAUUAUCUAAACUAUCCACAGUCGCUCAUACUUUGGAAGUAGGUAUGAAAGAAGAUUGUCAUGAACUGAUUUGUAGAUCGUCUAAGUGUUUAGACAAGAAAAGGUUUGCUGCAACAUUCAUGAGUGCUCUGAAAUAUGAUUUGAGUAUUGGAUUAAACCCGUGCUCAUUUGAAUCACUUCACGGAAUUAAUCACGUGUGAUUGUGAGACGAUAAUAUCAUAUAGUCUUUAAAUCUAGAUAUAUGGUUUAUUGUUUGUGAGUUGGUUGUGCAUUGAUAAUGCGUGAAUGCAUCUGUAACUUGAUGUUAUAAAACACAUUGUUGUGUAUGAUUUGAUGAGUAAAUAGUAAAUGCAUAUAAGUCAAAGUUUAUCUUUUUCUUUUAUCCUGUGAGGGUAAAAGCGAUAUCUUGGGACCCUCGAUGAUUUGGUUUGACUUAUGUGUUGGGGCCGGUCAGGACUGAGUUGAUGUGUUCAAUUAAGUUCUAUGUCAGACAGAUCAUAGAUCGAGAAACAAACUGUUGGACAAUAAGUAUGACUAUGUUCCAUGUGAUUGUCCACACGAUAUCUUGAGAACGGAGGACUAUACGAUCCCUUAUCUAAAGGACGUGUCAGAGUUCGACAACGGCUUUUUAGAGCUAUGAUUGCUAAUUGGAUUUUGAAGUCGUAUUUGCAUCUAUAGUUAUUAGACUUAUCCAAGUGGGAGACUGUUGAAUUAGGUGUCUAAGCUCAUAACUAUAUUUGGAAUGUACUUGACCCAGUUGUAGAAUGGUCCAUUUGGGUUGCCUUCACCAAAGCUACUUGACUGGAUGAAUAAUAGAAAAAGAAGUUAUUAUGGUUUAUUAAUAUAUUAUAUGAAUAAUAUAUUAAAAGAGAAAUCGUAUUGUUUAGUUAAUAUUGGUUAAGAAUUAACUAGGAAUUAAUUUUAUGAUCAAAAGAUAUUAAUUAAAACCUAGGGGACUGAUAUUGUAAUUAUUGGAUAGUUGCAAAGUAGGGUAAGGAAACCCUAGAGAUAGGGUGGAUGAAUUCAUGGGGAUAAGGCCUUAAGAAUUCAUCCAAGGUAGGGAUUCCAGCAGAUUCUUAUAGGCUGCUUAGAGCCUAAGCAACCGGAUAAGUGUUUGACUGAAACCCUAAAUCCUCACCUAUAUAAGGACCCUUCUGGCUACCAAUUUUCGGCUACACAUAACCCUAAGAUUUCUAGGAGCCGAUUUUUAGCCUUCCCCGCUCUCUCUCUCUUGCCUUCUCUAAUUGUUUUGGUGUUUGUCAUCUAUUAGAGGCGCAACAUUUGAGGUGCUGAGGCUCUCAAAGGCUCAAGUUCUUCAAGAAACAAUCAAGGUUACUUUCUAACUAGUUUAUUAUAUAUGAUUUUGAUUUUUAUGAUAUGCUAGAAUUGGGUUUAUGUACGUCUUGGACAAUUAUGCAUGUACAAGUAGAAAAACAUAGAUCCAAGCAUUAGGUUUUGCAUGAACACCAUAGGAAUGUUGUUUUACUCAAAACCCAUCAGGUUGUUGAAGUUGGUCUUCCUCUAUACUUUUAGGCCGAAGCUGUAAAUACAACAUGUUACACUCAAAAUGGUUCCAUCAUUGUAAAGCGUCAAGGGAAGAUUGCCUAUGAGCUGCUUAAGGGGGGGGGGGGUGGAAACUGGACAUAUCUUUCUUUCAUGUGUUUGGGUGUGUCUGCUACAUUUUGAAUCAAAGAGAUCUGCGCUCAAAGUUCGAAGCUAAAAUUUAACAUCGUAAAUAUUUAAACAAUUUUUCACGUUUUAAAAACCAUAUAUUUUAAUUCACAUCCACAUUUUAAAAUAUUGUAUCAUCAUUUUAUUAAUACAAAACCCCAAGAUCUAAACACAUGAACUCUAGUGUGCGUGUGUACGAAUCAUGCCGGCGCCUUCCUGCGAUCAUCGUUGGUACCUGAAACACAACACAUAACACUGUAAGCAUAAUUGCUAAGUGAGUUCCCCAAAAUACCACACUAACACAUAUUAGCUACUCGAGGCUAUAACUCUGUUGACCCUCUGGUCAGUGUGUCUCAAUAGAACCUUCCAGUCCCAACUCUCUAUGGGCCCUCUGGCCCUAACUCUAUGGACCCAAUGGUCCUACUCUGUAUACUCUGAAUCAUGCAUAUCAGAUAUCACAAUAAAUCACAACACAUAAAUAGCAUGCAAAUAUACUUGCACAUAACUCUAAAAUACACUGUCACAUAUCUCUGUACCACACUAGGUAAAGAAUAGUGAGAAGACUCACCUUAGAUGCCUCGGUAAAUCUCUGACUCGGUAGAAAUACGAUCUAGCCUCCGCCUAAUCACAUAAUGUAAAUAUUCUCAUAAAUAUAACUCUCGGGACUAGACUCAACCCUCUCUUGGCACCCUCGGAAGGUAAAAGGCCAGCUUACCCCUCUUAUGGCUCAAAGGCCACAUUGUUGACCAGAUCCUAAAGUCAACAGAAGUCAAUGGUCAAACUUUGACCCGACUCGUCGAGUGCACUUGGGCGACUCAGCGAGUCUUCACGUGUCCACUAAGUCUCUAGUCUCGCUUGGCACGUCGAGUCCCUUACCUUGCUCGACGAGUCACACUUGGCAUGAAUCGUGGGGCCACCCCGACUCAACUCACCGAGUCUCAAGAUCAACUCGGCGAGUUCCGCUUUGAGUUCUAGUCCUCUAAUCCCCCUCUGACUCACUGAGUUAUGCCCCCAACUCGGCAAGUCCACUCACUGAGUGAUUUACGGGAAACCCUAACCCUACUUGCCGAGUCUACCCUUGGACUCGGCGAGUUCAUGCCAUGCACGAACUCAAAUGGCCUCCUGAGGCCAGAUCUAUUGCUUUGAUCCAUAGAUCUGACCUUCCCAAGCCUGAUAAACACGUAAAGUUCGAAUCUUGACACUUAUGGGACGUCUAGGAGGCUUCACUUGGUGAUUUAGCCCCAAAAGUAACACCCUUAGCUCAACACCUCCAUAGUUCAACAUAAAGCAAGAUGAGAUAAGCUCUUUAGACCACUAUGGGUCCAGAUCUGAAGUUUUAAAGUGAAUAGGGGCCAUAUCUUCACAAUUUUAUUCCAAUAAAGGUCAUAAAACUCUACAUCUAUGGAUUCCUUCAACAAAACAGAUAAAGGGCGAUAUAAUACCUCAAAGAUGAAGUCUCUUGCUCGAAAUCCACAGAUGCACAACCUCCUUGGUCUCCCUUAAGUUGGAAUCACCUCCUUCUUGCAAGAAUCAACCACAAAGAUCAAGAAAUGGCUCCUUUCCUCUCACAAACGCUCUAACUCCUUUAGGGUUUCUCUUUGGGGUUUGGUUGCCGCAAAUGACGGCCCUAAGGGCCUACAAAUAGGUCCCAAACCCAGGAAAUUAGGGUUUCAUUAAACAGCGUGGACUCGCCGAGUCCAGUCAUGAACCCGGAUAAGAAUCCGCGACCCUACUCGGCGAGUCGAAGCACCAACUCGCGAGUCCCUUCACAAUCCUCCAAAAGUAAAAGAAUAAAAUAAUAUAACCGGGAAUCCGGAUGUUACAAUUCUUCCCCAAUAGAAUCGGACUUCGUCCUCGAAGUCUUACUCUGCAAACAACUCGGGAUGCUGCUCCCGCAUCUCUCGCUCCGGCUCCCAAGUUAACUCUGACCCUUUCCGAUGCUGCCAAUGAACCUACACCAGAGGCACCUCCUUGUUUCUCAGAACCUUGAUCUUCCAAUCCCUAACCACCACCGGUCUCUCAACGUAGUUCAGGCUCACAUCCACCUGAAUAUCCUCUAAUGGAACUACUGCCGACUCGUCGGCUAUACACUUCCUCAGCUGCGACACGUGGAAGGUGUCAUGAAUCUGACCCAACUCUGCAGGUAGCUCCAACCGGUAGGCUACCCUUCCUACCCUCGUGAUCACCCUAAAAGGACCAAUAUAUCGGGGCCCCANNNNNNNNNGGAUCACUCCUUUCCAAGGAGAGACCUUCAGGAGCACGAAGUCGUCGACCUGAAAUUCGAGCUCGGACCGGCGCCUGUCCACAUAACUCUUCUGGCGACUCUGAGCGGUCAACAAACUCUGUCUGCCCUGUUGUAUCUGCUCUGACGUCUAAAGCACGAUCUCUGUACUACCCAUCACACGCUGUCCUACCUCUCCCCGACAAAUGGGGGUCCGACACCUCCUCCCAUACAACAGCUCAAAGGGUGGCAUACCAAUGCUCGAAUGAUGGCUGUUGUUGUAGGAAAACUCUGCCAAGGGCAAGUACGUGUCCUAACUCCCUCCGAAAUCCAACACACAUGCUCGGAGCAUGUCCACGAGCGUCUGAAUCGUCUGCUCACUCUGUCCGUCAGUCUGUGGGUGGUAUGCGGUACUAAAAUGUAGUCUCGUACCCAAUUCCUCAUGAAAUUUCUUCUAGAAUUUGGAAAUGAAACGCACAUCUCGAUCUGAGACAAUCGAGAUCAGCACCCCAUGCCGCGAUACCACCUCUCUCACGUACAUCUCUGCCAACCUCUCUGCAAAAGAGCUCUCACUGAUAGCAAGGAAAUAAACACUCUUCGUCAACCUGUCCACAAUCACCCAAAUUGCAUCUACACCUCUCACAGUCCUCGGCAAUUUGGUGAUGAAAUCCAUGGUAAUCUAUUCCCAUUUCCACUCGGGAAUCUCUAACGACUGCAACUUACCAUGUGGACGCUGGUGCUCGGCCUUAACCCUGCGACAGGUCAAGCAUCUCUCUACAAACCAUGCGACAUCCCUCUUCAUACAAGGGGACCAAUACCCCCUCUUCAGGUCCAAAUACAUCUUACUGGCCCCGGGAUGGAUCAAGAACUUCUAUCGAUGAGCCUCUUCCAUCAAAAUGGUACACGUCCCGCCCACAAACGGUACCCAUAUCCAACCCUGAAAUGUCAUAAGCCCCUAGCUAUCGGUAACGAACUCCGAUACGAGCCCGACAACUCGCUCUCUCUUCUGGCUUUCUGGUCUCACGACCUCAGCUUGGGCCCUACGAAUGGUGUCCAACACCAGAGUCAUCACUGUCAAUCUCAAGCAAACAUCUCGCAUCGGGGCACCCUCCGCCCUACAGCUCAGUGCAUCGGCUACAACAUUAGCCUUGCCCGGGUGGUAAAGGAUCUCACAAUCGUAAUCCUUCACCACAUCCAACCAUCUCCUCUGGCGCAUAUUCAGGUUGGGCUGAUCCAUUAAAUACUUCAGGCUCUUGUGGUCCGUGUAUAUGGUACACCGAAUCCCAUACAGAUAGUGACACCAGAGCUUGAGGGCGAACACCACUGCCCCCAACUCCAGAUCGUGGGUGGGAUACCUCAUCUCAUGAGGCUUCAGCUGCCUCGAUGCGUAUGCUAUCACAUGACCCCUCUACAUAAGCACCGCUCCCAACCCUAAUAUUGACGGGUCACAAAACACUACGAAGUCCUCCAUCCCCUCCGAAAGGGCUAGCACCGAGGCUUCGCAUAGUCUCUGGCGAAGUGUCUCAAAGGAGGCCUGCUGCUCUAAACCCCAUGAAAUAGCAACCCCUUUCCGGGUCAACUUGGUGAGUGGCACAACGAUCUUGGAGAAAUCCCUGAUACUUCUCCGAUAAUAACCAGCCAACCCUAGGCAACUCCUGAUCUCGGUAGGCGACCUCGGCACCUCCAAACUCAUCACUGCCUCAAUCUUGUCCGGGUCGACCAAUAUCCCUUUCUGGUUAACGAGGUGCCCUAGGAACUGGACCUCUCGCAACCAGAAAUCACACUUGGAGAAUUUGGCAUAAAGCCUCUCCGAUCUCAGAACUCCGAGGAUCUCCCUCAAAUGCUCCUCAUGCUGCUCUCUGGAUCUCGAAUACACCAAUAUGUCGUCGAUGAACACGAUCACCGAGCGAUCCAACAUUGGCCUGCACACUCUGUUCAUGAGUUCCAUGAACACCGCCGGUGCAUUGGUGAGUCCAAAAGGCAUCACCACAAACUCGUAAUGCCCAUAAGGAGUCCUGAACGCUGUUUUCUUGAUGUCCUCAUCUCGCACCCUCACAAGAUGAUAUCCAGACCUUAAAUCGAUCUUGGAGAACCAAGAUGCUCCCUGCAACUGAUCGAACAAAUCGUCGAUACUUGGCAACGGGUAAUGGUUCUUGACCGUUAGUUUGUUCACUCCCGGUAANAUCCGGUGUGAACCAUCCUUAUUCUUGACAAAAAGGAUAGGCGCUCCCCAUGGCGAACUGCUCGGCUGAAUAAACCCCUUUCCCCGCAGCUCCUGAAGCUGCGAGGAUAACUCUUGCAUCUCUGGAGGCGCAAGGCGAUAAGCCACAGCCCCCGGAACCAAAUCGAUACUGAACUCUACCUGCCUCUCGGGAGGCACAACCGACAACUCUUCUAGAAAUACAUCUAGAAACUCACGCACUAUCGGGACCUCAUCAACUAACCUCGGUCUCUUUGAAUCAACCCUUGCAUCCAUCACAUACGCAACAAAUCCCCUACAGCCCUGCUGUAGACUCUGUGUCGCUCUGGCGGCCGAACAAAAUGCUGACCCAGAAUGUGUACCCUCGCCGUACACCGAAAGAACUCCUCCACUAGGGUCUCGUAUAGUCACCAGCUGUCUCUCGCAGUCGAUGACCACUCCAAAUUUGCUCAACCAGUCCAUGUCCACGAUGACACAGACAUCUCCCAUCCCAAUAGGAACUAAAUCAAUCGGGAACUCAACGCCGAAAAUCUCGAGUACACAUCCUCGGAUCACUUCGGCGGCAUACACCGUCCUCUCGGCAGCUAUGGAAACUCUUAGAGGUCAACUCAACGCCUCCCGACUAAUACUGAUGUGCUGACUAAAAGCUAAAGAUACAAAAGACCGACUCACCCCCGAGUCAAAUAACACCAAGGUAGGUACAUAAUUCACAAGAAAAGUACCUACGCAUAACAUAAAAUAAACACAAUAUCCCAACAUCAAAAUAAAUACAAGAAAGGAUACAUACCAGCCACGACAUCGGGCGCCAGGCGAACCUCCUCCGCAGUCAACUGAAAGGCUCUCCCUCAUGCCUUCGGUACCUAGGCCUUCACUGGCCGGCUCAGUAGCUCUGAUAGCAGUAGGGGCAGAUCCCUGAGGUGCUCCCUGGGCUGUCCCUCGCAACUGUGGACACUCUGCCUUGUGGUGUUCGGUCUGGUUGUAGUGAAAGCAUACUGCAAACCCCUUGGGGAAAUCCUUGGCGAUAUUCCCCUCCGUGCCACAUUUGUAGCAACACCCCACCCUGCACACCCCAUCGUGGCUCUUGCCGCACUUGCCACAAGUGCGGCCCUUCUGACUCCCAGAUGUCGAAUCAACGGGCUUGGCCGACUUGGCUGUCGGCUGAGACUACGCUGGUCGCCGAUCCCUCCCCUGAGACUCAACCUCCUCCCUAGCCUGGGUCUCCAGGCUCUGUCUCCCUCUUCCGGGCAUUUGCCUGAAGCUCAGCAAAUGUCCGGUACGUUGAGUUCGCAAUGAACUCCCGUAUAUCCCUCCUCAAAAUGCUCAGAUAUCGGCUCAUACGUUCCUGAUCGGAGGACACGUGCUCUGGGCAGAACAUCGCCCGCUCAUGGAACAUCCUCGUAUUCACCGUGACAUACUCAAUACCCUGCUUGAGGGUCAGAAACUCCUGGUCCAAACGCUCCCUCUCCAGCUGGGGAACGUACUCAUCUCGGAACAUAGCAGUGAACCUCUCCCAAGUCAUUGUAGCAAGCUCAGCAGGCAAAUAAUGCGUCAUCACAAACUUCCACCAGUCUUUCGCUCCCAAGCGAAGCUGGUUCAAUGCGAACCGGACUCUCAAAUGCUCUGGAGAUGAGCAGGUGAAGAAACCCCGCUCAAUGUCUGAAAUCCACGUCACCGCUGCAAUCGGGUCCUGGGUCCCAUCAGAAUCUGGUGGUUUUGUGUUGCUGAACUCCCAGAACAACAACACAUCACCACCCUGCGGUCUAGCCGCAGCAACAACAACACCAGAAAGAGCAGUGUAUCUCUUGUCAAAUGUCUCUAUCAGGGUGGUCUUGAUAGACUCGAACAUCUCUGGAAUCUCUGCGCGGAUGGCAGCAGCCACCUCAUCAUGAAUCAUCUGGCAGAGCUCCUCGUCGCUCACACCCCCUCCACUAGUCCCUGGUCUUUGGCGCGUCCCCACCAUGAUGCCUCUCUGAAAUACAACACAAGAUAUCAGAGACUCGCUCGGGCGUAGACACACUUGAUACCCCAAUCCUACUUGGUCUCUGGUACCCUAAGGAUUCUUACUUGGGUUGUGCACUGACCCGGUGCCUUCGGUAGUACGGGCCCAAUACUACCGACCACACCGCCUCAGCAUUCUUCCCAAGUCCUCCUCCCAGAGUCCCAAAUUCCAAGCACUCUACUCUCUUAAAUCAUAUGCUACUCACUAGCUGAUCUCUCAUAAGCUCCUUGUUGCUAUCUAAACACUCUCAAGCAUCCCUAGCAGCAAAACUUCUAGACUAAGGCAUCAUAUAUAUCAGGCAACUUUAGUCAUAAUAAGGAUACCUAGUCUACUCUAGCAUGCGUACUAUACCUCAUCAUAACAUAAUAUAUCUCGUAACACUUAUUACAAGGGUAUUUUGGGAAAUCACCGUUCGGGCGCUGGCUGAUCGUACACACGGCUCUGCUCUGUUUGUCUCAAAAAUCUUUUUACUCUUAAAUUUUUUUUACUUUUAUUAUCGUUUUUUUCUCAAAUCCUCAGUUUGAGUUUAGAUACACCCGAAGAUGCAUCUGAAUCCCUCAAACCAAGGCUCCGAUACCAACUUGUAACACCGUAAAAAUUUAAACAAUUUUUCACGUUUUAAAAACCAUAUAAUUUCAUUCACAUACACAUUUUAAAAUAUUGUAUCAUCAUUUUAUUAAUACAAAACCCCAAGAUCUAAACACAUGAACUCCAGUGUGCAUGUAUACAAAUCAUGCCGACGCCUUCCCGCAAUCAUCGUUGGUACCUGAAACACAAAACAUAACACUGUAAGCAUAAUUGCUUAGUGAGUUCCCCAAAAUACCACACUAACACAUAUUAGCCACUCGAGGCUAUAACUCUAUUGACCCUCUGGUCAGUGUGUCUCAGUGGAACCUUCCAGUCCCAACUCUCUAUGGGCCCUUUGGCCCUAACUCUAUGGACCCAAUGGUCCUACUCUGUAUACUCUGAAUCAUGCAUAUCCCAUAUCACAAUAAAUCACAACACAUAAAUAGCAUGCAAAUAUACUGGCACAUAACUCUAAAAUACACUGUCACAUAUCUCUGUACCACACUAGGUAAAGUAUAUUGAGAAGACUCACCUCAAGUGUCUCGGUAAAUAUCUGACUCGGUAGAAAUACGAUCUAGCCUCCGCCUAAUCACAUAAAGUAAAUAUUCUCAUAAAUAUAACUCUCGGGACUAGACUCAACCCUCUCUUGGCACCCUCAAAAGGUAAAAGGCCAUCUUACCCCUCUUAUGGCUCAAAGGCCACAUUGUUGACCAGAUCCUAAAGUCAACAGAAGUCAAUGGUCAAACUUUGACCCGACUUGUCAAGUGCACUUAGGCGACUCGGCGAGUCUACACGUGUCCACUAACUCUCUAGUCUCGCUUGGCAUGUCGAGUCCCUCCCGUUGCUCGACGAGUCACACCUGGCAUGAAUCGCGGGGCCACCCCAACUCAACUCGCCGAGUCUCAAGAUCAACUCGGCGAGUUCCGCUUUGAACUCCAGUCCUCUAAUCCCCCUCUGACCCACUGAGUUAUGCCCCCAACUCGGCAAGUCCACUCACUGAGUGAUUUACAGGAAACCCUAACCCUACUCGCCGAGUCUGCCCUUGGACUCGGCGAGUUCAUACCAUGCACGAACUCAAAUGGCCUCCUGAGGUCAGAUCUGUUCCUUUGAUCCAUAGAUCUGACAUUCCCAAGCCUGAUUAACACAUAAGAUUCGAAUCUUGACACUCAUGGGACGUCUAGGAGGCUUCACUUGGUGAUUUAGCCCCAAAAGUAACAUCCUUAGCUCAACACCUCCAUAGUUCAACAUAAAGCAAGCUGAGAUAAGCUCUUUAGACCACUAUGGGUCCAGAUCUAAAGUCUCAAAGUGAAUAGGGGCCAUAUCCUCACAAUUUUCUUCCAAUAAAGGUCAUAAAACUCUACAUCUAUGGAUUCCUUCAACAAAACAGAUAACGGGGUGAUAUAAUACCUCAAAGAUGAAGUCUCUUGCUCGAAAUCCACAGAUGUACAACCUCCUUGGUCUCCCUUAAGAUGGAAUCACCUCCUUCUUGCAAGAAUCAACCACAAAGAUCAAGAAAUGGCUCCCUUCCUCUCACAAACGAUCUAACUCCUUUAGGGUUUCUCUCUGGGGUUUGGUAGCCGCAAAUGACGGCCCUAAGGGCCUUUAAAUAGGUUCCAAACCCAGGAAAUUAGGGUUUCAUUAAACAACAUGGACUUGCUGAGUCCACUCAUGAACUCGCCGAGUCCAGUCAUGAACCCGGAUAAGAAUCCGCGACCCUACUCUGCGAGUCUAAGCACCAACUCGCCGAGUCCCUUCACAAUCCUCCAAAAAUAAAAGAAUAAAAUAAUAUACCUGGGAAUCCGGAUGUUACAUAAACCUGAUGAAGGAGUGUUUCUGAGAUACUCUAGUGUGUCCAAGGUCUUCAGGGUAUUCAAUCUUUCAAGUCAACCUGCUGAGGAAACUGCUCAUUUCACGUUCGAUGAAGACCCAUCCAUCUAUAAUGUUAUCUAUGAUAAUCCGAAAAAUUUGGAUCAAGCAAGGUCUAAAUUGUAACGAUCUGCAAGUGAAUUCACAAUGUAGGUUGUUGCAAUAAAACUUUGAAAACCAAGAGGGCAUGGUUUGGGUGAGUGUAUACGUAGGAAUAUAUAGACUUUGAGGAUCAUAUUCGUAAUAAACCUUUAAGAUUCAACAAGUGAUAGCAUGGCAAGACAAGUCAAAUGGUUGGAACACAAAUCAUGAAACUAAAACAUUAUUUUAUAGUUUAAGCCUAGUACCCCACGAAGAAUGGGAUUUUGGUCCACCUAAGGCCAAAAUCAUCCUCCCAUGAUGCAUUAAGACUGAAAACACCAAGCUACAACCCCACUAAGGCCGAAAACACCCAAGACUUCAAAGCCAUUAGGACCGAAAUCACCUCUAGUGGGUGAUACAAAAACCGACCCCCAUAGGGCAUAACAAGAACGAAAACACAAUGUAUGAAGGAGUAGGACUAAGAUCACCAAGGGAACAAGGUAAUUUCGGUCAUGUAUGGCCAAAAACUCCACUUUGACCCUUUUCUAAUGUGAUUUUGGUUUAGUGAAGGGAAAAGAUAAGGUUUGAAUUUAUGAAUUGAUAGUUUAAUCCUUUCCAAUGCAAAUUAGUACCCAACAAACUUCCAGGCAUUUACCCAACAUGUAUUUAUGUCAAUUUCUAAUAUUUAACUAGGCAAACUUCACUUCACCUUUUACCCCCUUUAAACACAGCAGGAAGCAUCCACAAAUCCCACCAUUUUGCAUUCCAUCUUCCAUUAACUUCCUUUUCUCCCAAGAAUCAAUUCCAAGCUUCAAAAGAAUUCAAAUCCUCCAAGUAUUAUUCUUAGAUUGUGGUAAGUAAUUUUGAUAUUUCCUAGCAUACUAAACAUUUUUAUGUUAAGUUCAUCCCAUUUACACACAGUAAAAUUUUUGAUAAAUCUCAUAGGAUAAUAUUCCUCCCAAGGAAGUUCAUCCACCACAUUCAAGUAUUUGGGCUUGGAAAUCUACACAAACAACCCAUAAAUUCACUCAAGGUGAGUUCAUACCCCUACAUUUUUAAGCUUUUUUUUUCAUGUUUUAGGGGGGGGGGGGAUGCAAGUCAGAUUUUGUUUAUCAUAUAAACAUUUUCAUAUUUCAUUUUUAAGUUAAAAUAUAAGAUAUUGUUUGUAUAAGAUAUGUUUAUCACUACUUUUUAUACAAUAUUUGUGAUAUAUUAGUUUUGAUAUGCAAAUUUAACAAAAACAUACUCAUUAUAUGCUACAAACAUCAUAAGGAAAAGUAUGAUUUGGAAAACUACAAGGUUUUGGAAACUUUUACUAAAAGAUAGUUUUUCUAGUAAAAAUGGUUACAUCGUAGUCAUUUAUUAUCUAGUGUACACCUUAAGUUCUGCAUUAUAACCAGAGUCUCCUUAAGGGAGAGCAAGAUACUUGUGUAUAGAUCUAUAUAGGAUUGACAACCCUGCACCUCAGCCGUUAGUUACCCUUAGACCUGCAAGUCUACGGUGACAAAUGUCUACUAAAUCCAAUGCCUGAAGAAUGUCGUUAAGGCAUAUCAGUCAUAUUAGCAUGGUUAUAAUAACUCACAUAGGGAUUAACGAAACUACUCAGUUUACGGGGUAACUUACACUUCAUUAGUUUUAUAAAAAGAUAUAACUACAUACUAUUUUUUUGUACAACAUUUCUUACAUUUUUGGCCUUAGGUUUUAAGACUAUAGUUCAUAUUUAAAAAAAUAUUGGAUUUUGUGGAAACAUACAUUAUCAUCGUACACGGAAAGGAUACAAAGGAAAUACAUACAUCUAUAGUUUAUAUUUAAGAACAUAUUGGAUUUUCUGGAAACCUACUGUAACAUCCUAAAAUUUAAGACUAAGUUCUUAAAUUAAUAAAGUAAAUAAAUGAAAAUUGAUUUAUAUAGUUAAAUCAUGAAGGUAUAAUCAUAUCGUUAGUUGAUAUGAAGUUUGGAAGUUUAGAAGGGAAAAUAAUAACAUUUUAGAAGUUAAAGGGGCAAAAGUGUCAAAUUCGCAUAGUGAGUUUACCAAAAUGGUUGACUUAGUUAUUGGAAAGGACUAAAAAAGUUAUAUAAUGGAUGGGGAAGUGCUUUGUAUGCCAAAACUUAAGUUAAAAUCAUAAAUAAUGAAGUUUGGUGGGUUUUGGCCAAAACAAGUAAACUUGAGUGGCCAAAUGUGAACAAGUGGGAAAUAAGAUGAUACCCGAAAUUUCCAUUCUGAACAAACAAUAUCACUUCCAUAGAAGUUAUAACAGUCAUAGUAAAUUUUCAAACUUUUCGGAUAAGUUUGAGUAAUUCAGGGUUACACUUCAGGAGAUAGCAGGAGAGUGGAUGCACUAGGGUUUUGUGCAACACUGUUAUUCCAACACUCUGUCAUAUUAGAAAUCAUUUCGGGAAUAAACAUAUUUUCUUCCAAAAAUAUCUCAGGACUAUAAAUAGAAUUCUGAACCAAAUUCAUUCAUCAUUCGCAUUUCCAACUAGAGAAAAGCCAUUUUCUCUCUCACAGAUCUUCGGGUUUUUAUCCCAAAUCGUGAGUACUUCAAUCUAGUUGUAUUAUAUAGCUUAGAUUGUGCUUAAUAACAUCAAAAUAACGACAAAACAACAAGAUUUGAGAGUUUACUCCCCAAGAACAUCUUGGAGAGUAAACUCCUUUUCAAAAGCCAAAUGAGGCCUAGCCCUUCCUUAAGCCAUGAAACUAAUUUGGACUUGUACACUAACGAGUUUAGGGACAGAAAACAAGCUCAAAGCAACAAUAUUUGAGAGUUUACUCCCCAAGAACAUCUUGGAGAGUAAACUCCUCUUGGAGAGUAAACUCCUUUUGGAGAGUAAACUCCAUUUUAAGGGCCAAAAGUGUCCCAAUGUCCCUCAAAGCCUUGGAAAUGAACCUUGAGACUACCCAUGACAUGUUUGGACAUCCAAAACAAAUAGAAUCAAGGGUUGAAAGUGAGUUCAUUGCCAAGGAAGUUCUUGGGCCGUGAACUCCAUUUUUGGGUGUCAAAAUGCCCUAAAUGCCACCCUUAAGCCAAGAGACUAGCAUAGCUUUUUACCUUGAUGUGUCUAAGACCCAAAACAACCAAAAUACCAACACCCACAAGUGUUUACGGCCGCAAACACAUGACCAAAUGGUCUAUGGGCCGAAAACUCAAGUUAGGGGUGUUUUGGUGCCACAAACACUUCCUAAGGCUUAGGCAUGAAUUUAGAAUGCUUCCUUAUGACCUUUAAGACCCUCAUAAACAUAUUUGGACAUGAGUUUACGGUUGUAAACUCAUUUGGGCCGUGAACACCCCAAAAGUGCCAAAAGAAGUGGUCUUUCUCAUCCUAGGCUAAAGCUAAUGUCCCUAAAUCAUUCCCUAGCUUUCAUACUUGCACUAACCCAUGAGUAACCAUGAGUUUACGGCCGUAAACUCCCUUGGGCCGUGAACUCAUGGUAGUAAACUCAUAUGAGUGCCUUAAUACCCUCCUAGGUUGAAUCACAUGUGAUUCCAACACUUGGUUAAGGUGUUUCCUAGUCCCGGAAGGUGUUUCCUUUCAUAUAGUUGUUUAUAAACACUAUAUUCAUGUCAUUAUGUGUCCUUAAAUAUCAUUUAGGACUUAUUGUGUCUCGGAACUUCAUUCGUGGAACUUCUCAUCCGUACGCGCNCUACAGGUGAGUUCAUACCCCUAAUCAAUGUUUUAAAUGAUUUUAAAUGCUUUAAUGGGGGGGGGGAAUACAAGUAGAAAACAACAUGUUAUUAAAUCAUCUAUAUGUAUUUUAUAACUGUGUUUUCAUUCAACAGAUUUCACAUACUACAAAAUGUGAUGCAUGAAAUGGUUUUCUAUCUUUAAAAUACUUUGUUAUCAAAUGUAUUACUUUUGAAAUGUUUAUCAAAAUGACAUCAAGUCACUUUUAUAUUUGUUCAAAACCCGUAGAUGUCUUACAAAACCAUUUUACAUUCUUGAACUAAACUAUGCAUAUACAAUUAUAAUCUUAUAUAUGUAUUGUUGUUAUAGUUUACAUCUUUCACUUAGUUUCCCACACCCUUGAGUAGUAAGAGUGUAUAAACCUACUUGAUCAACCUAUUAAAUUUCAGUUAAUUAUCAUAGGGAUAAUUUGAAGAUAACAAACAUUAUUCCUAUUACAAGGAUUCACACAAGAGUCAGUUCAUUCAUGAGUCCACACCAGUACAUUACCUGAUACAUGAACAUGUUUACAUAUACUUACCUGAUACAUGAACACACUUACAUGAAUGCCAUACAUGAACACUGUUACAUAGGUGCAUUAUCCUGUAUUCACUUACCUGGAUACUUGUACUUAGAACUACGAGGAUGAUUUAUUAGUACUUUCUGUGUAAAUUAUCUUUCCUAUCCCGGUUCAACGGGAUAUCUCGGCGGGACUAACCAUUCCGAACCCCGCUGAUUAGCACCAGUGGUCGAUGACCAUCUACGGAGGUCUAUGGUUACUAUUUAUAUUAGGUAGAUCAAUAUCUAGGCAGGACUAACCAUUCCGAAUCCCAUCUAAUUAACACCAGUGGUCGAUGACCAUCUACGGAGGUCUAUGGUUACUAUUUAUAUUAGGUAGAUCGAUAGCAGGGGCUAACCCCUCCACCCAUCUGCUGCUGCUACAAAGGACAAGUGGACAAUCUUCGGAUGUUCAUUAGGUUAUACCUUUCGCUUAUUGCGACGUUGUGUUACUCCUACUACCCAGCGAUAACACUUACAUUAAUACUUUUUCUGGACAAUCUUCGAAUGUUCAUUAGGUUAUCUAUUUCGCUUAUUGCGAUGUUGUGUUAGUCUUAGUACCUAGUGACAACACUUACACGAGUAGAUCUUUCCUAUUUACUUUAUUUUGUGAUACAUUCACCUAAACAAAGAGUUAGACUAAGUACUUUUAGUACUAGUCAAUAGAAAGGAAAAACUAUCAUUUUACUUACAAAACAUUCAGGUCUUGGUAGAAGACUGCAUUAUCAUAACAAAACAUUCGGGUCAUGGUAGAAGACUACAUUAUCAUAACAAAACAUUCGGGUCUUGGUAGAAGACUACAUUUUCAUAACAAAACAUUCGGGUCUUGGUAGAAGACUACAUUUUCAUAACAAAACAUUUGGGUCUUGGUAGAAGAUUACAUUGUCAUAACAAAAUAUUCGGGUCUUGGUAGAAGACCACAUCUUAAACUAAUAGAAAAUAAGGGAUUUUCUAGGGCUUUUCAUACUUACAUCAACAUUUUCAUUUAAAGGUUUACAUGACUUUUAAAACAGCUUUUCAAAUGACACUUAAAUACUUAUGAAUUCACCAGCUUUAAAGCUGAUACUCUCUUUCAAAAUAACUUGUAUUCUCAGGUCAUCAGUAGGCAGGUACGGUGGCCAGGUCUUGAGAAGACGGAGCAGACAAGUCUCGUCUUAUAUUUUGAUUAUAUAUUUUUGGUGUUUUAUUACAAUGAAAGAACACAUGUAUUAAAACUUUACUUAUAAUGCAAUGGAUGAUGUUGUUGCUUGUUUACUAUUUUACACUGUUGUGAUACUGUACAUGACGUCCUCCACCCCUGAACGUUUCUGCCGUUCGUGGUUUUGGGGUGUGACAGAUGAACACUCCCUUUUCCCUUCCAGUUACAUAUUGAGCAUGCUAGAGAGCUUCAAAUGCCGAUUUUCUUCUCCUUUCUAUCUAGGGUUCGAUCCAAGUGAAGAACGAAACAAUCAAACAAAGGAGAGAAGGAAUCAAGGCUUGAAAGGUAAAAAUCUUCUCAUCCUUUAUCUUAGAAUUCGAAUUUGUGAAGUGGGUUUAACCCCCAAUGUUGAAAUUAGUAUGAUUCCUUGAUUAUGGAUUGGUUUUCGAACCUCCCUUGAUUUACUUUUUUGAUCCCAACCAUCCCAUUGAUGGAUUUGAGGAUUUGGGUGAAAACCCUAUUGACACCUUACAAUCAACCUUGUAGAUUUCAUGUUGUUAUUUUAGGAUUGAGAGAUGUUCAAUGACCUAGAUGAUGUUUAGAAGCAAUAAGUCCAAUUGGAAUGCUCAAACACAUCUAUGAUGGUAGAAUGUUAUGUAAACAUGGAAUUUAUAUGGUUUUGGAGAAAAUGUGAUGAAACAAUGGAAUCCUUUGAAUUUGAGCAUUUGCUAAGUAUAUGAUACUCAUAAUCAUGAGUUGAUACUAAAAAAAUAUGAUUUAAAUGCAAUAACAUGAAGGCUUGAGUGAUUUAUGGUUGAAUUUAUAGAAUAUUUUGGGCAUAAGGGUAUUUAGGGAAAUGUAUAGAUUACUACGUAAAGUUUGACAUCUUAGAAGUGAAUGACAUUCAUGAAUGUGAAUUGACAGUAUAGAGAUUAUAUUGGAACAUAAUCACGAAGGGAUGUUAGUAUGGUUCUAUCUUUAGUGAAUGUUUGACCCAAAGGGAAUUUGGGAAAUAUGGAAUGGAAUUGAGGAUUCCAUGGUUAGUUUAAGUACUUGCAAUGAGUUUAACGCACGGUUUCACCUACAUUCAUAUUUUUGCAUUAGGAAUGAGAUGAAACAAUAAAAUUUAGUAAUCGAACCUUUGAGGGGAAUUUUAGUCAUUUUAAUGACUUGUGUCCAUGUUAUAUAGGUGUUGAUUGAGAGUGCUUCAAUAAGGAAAGGAACUAGAAGAAGACUAGAUAUCCUACGUGUGAUUGAGGUGAGUACGUGUUGGCAUUUUUCCCACUUUGGGGUACAUGGAAAAAUGAUUUUAUGAUAACGAAAUACAAUGCUUUGAUAUAUGAAAUGUUUUGAAACAAAAGCGUCAAAUGUUUUUGGAAAGGGUAUUUGAAAGAGUGUCUUAAAGGUAAGAAUGUUUUCGAAAGAAAAGAACAUUUUGUAAGAUCGAAUGUUUUGAAAAUAUGAUUGAAAUGUUUUGAAAUAUACAUGCUUUAGUUUUGAAAUAAUUUUAUGAUACUAAUGUAUGAAAUGUGUAAAGCAUGGAAUGUAAUGAAAAGAAAUGUAAAGUAAAGAAAAGGAAUGGAAAGUAAUAAAAACGAAUUGGAAAGUAAUGAAACGAAAACUGCUCGGGCCAUGAUACCUCGUAAGAGGCACUGGAGGAAUCUAUCAGGGUGGCGUCUCCCCUUCGCGAGAUAGAUUUCCUAAUGGAAAUGAUGCAUUGGUGGAUUGAUUUGUUCUUUCCACCUUGUCUAGACUUGGGAGUGGUUCCUUUAUUGGACGUAGACCCUAAGUAUAAAAAUGGCAAUGGUAUAAUUCCCGAAUUAGCCCUUAAAGAUAAAAGAAAAUGAAAUAUGGAAAUAUGGCUUUUGAAAUGAAAUGAAAGGAAAGGAAAUAAGAAGAUAUGAAAUGAUAUUUAUGACAUGUAUGAAAUAAGUUUUCCUUGAAAAUGCUUGAAAAUGUUUUGUGGUCUAAAACUAUGUUUUGCAAAGAUGAAAUGUUUUUGAUGAAAAAGUGAUAAAUUUUUUGGGUCUCAAACCCAUGUAGCUCACGAGACAUUAUUGUCUUAUGUAUCUCUAUUUAAUGCUAUGUAUCUCAGGUUAUACUUAAGGGGAGAGAAUGAUAGAUGGAAAUUAGAAGUCAAGUGAUAGAGAAUGGACUGGACCUUGUUAAGUUCCUUAUUAAUUAUAUUGAUGUAAUUGUUAUUUGCUUGCUAUGGUUGUAUUGAUGCUUAAUGGUAACACCCAUUGUUUUAAAUUUGUAAAUGUUUUUUUGUGGGACCGGUUUUUGUUAAAUGUAGGUUAACACCCGAAUGUUUUUUUUAAACCAUAGCAUAUUAAAGUUUGAAAUAAUUUGGGGUGUUAGACCUACAUUAUCAUUUUACAAGGAAAAUAUUCAAAGGAACUACAUACAUUUUAGUCUUGGGUAUAAGGCCUACGACUCUUUUUUAAAGAAAAUAUUAGAUUUACUAGAAGUAUACAAAACCAUUUUACACGAAACCGUUACAAAUCCUUUUCAUACAAAAUGCUUAUGAGCUUACCAACUUAAUUGUUAACAGUUUUCAAAACCACUUGUAUUCUCAGGAAACCAGUAAACUGUCGGAUAUAGGGUUUAUGUCCAUAACUAUAUUUGGUAUGUACUUGACCCGACCUGGCAUGGUCCAUUUGGGUUGCACUUCACCCGAACAAUUUAUGGAUAGUCUUUGGAGAAUAGUAUAAGUUAUGAUUUAUUAAUAUAUUGUAAGUUCUAAUAUAUUAAUAUAAGAUCAUAUUAUUUAAUUAGUAUUGAUCUAUAAUUAAUCUAGGAUUAAUUUAGAGAUCAAAAGUAUUACUAAUUAAAUAUGGGCUUCUAUAUUUAUAUAGUGUGGGCUAAUGCUUAUUUGGAAUGGGCUAGGCAUGCAUGGAAAGUCCAUGGAUACUCCAUGGAGCUUUAACCCAUGGAUCUCACGGAAAUGAGGAGACAUGGGUAUUAGGGUUUACAUGGAUGUAACCCUAAUCCACCACACUAUAUAAAGGAGGCUUUGGUUCUUGAAAUCACACUAGUUUAUGAGAGUAAAGCAAGAGGGCCGAUUUCAAGAUAGUUGUGACUAUUCUCUCAAGGUUCGAAAGUUUGUGGUCAUUUGUGAUUCCAUUUGAGGCAUUCACACUAGUGGUGCUAGGAUCUAAAACUCCAAGCAAUCAACUACAACUACAAGGUAAGUAAUUCUUCUAGCUUUAUUUGAUUCAAGUUCCCCAUGCCAUGGUAGAUAGGAUAAGAACCUUGGAAAAUAAUUAUUCGCAUGUAUCUUAGUCAAACAUAGAUCCAAGAUUUAUUAGGGUUGCAUGUAAACUUAGGAAGUGUUAUAAUGCUCUAAACCCAUCAGUGGUAUCAGAGUCUAGGCUUGUUUGUUUGAUACUUGAUGCAAAAUAUUGGAAAAAAGUCGAAAUCUUGCUUUCUGCCUGAUGAACUCGCCGAGUCCAUGGGGGGACUCGCCGAGUUCAUGUGUAUCUUCAUCCUACUCGCGAAGUAGGUUCGUGCACUAGACGAGUAGGAGCCUCAGAAUGUAGAUUUUCGACUUUUGCUGCUGGAAAUGGACUAGAAACAAUACCCUAAACUAUUUUGGUGUCAUAAAACUUGUUUUAGAUGGUGUAAUGUUUAUGCUAAUCCAUUUACAAUGGCUAUAAUAAAAAAUUACAAGAUUUAUGAGUAAUUUAUGACUCUUGAAAUGUUCAUAUUCAUGUUCUUGAACUUAUGAAGAUUAGAUGAUCAUAGGAACUGUUUGUAACCUACUUGGUAGUUUAAUUCUUGAUCAUAAUUUGUUUUAAUGGACUCCAUAACUUGUCCUCAAGUUAUGGAAAACCAAGAGUCACACUUGAAUUAAAACCAUUAAGAGAACACAAGAGUUAGGAAAAUGAAAAGUCUUCAUUUUAAUACUCAAUUAACUUCAUAAGUUAAAAAGAAAUGAUAAGUUUUGAAUGUUUACAACACUUGUCCUCAAGUUUUGGAACAAGUAAAGUCAUAUUUAAAACUUUAGUUCCAACCCUUAGAAUUUUAAAAGUUAAAAUUCAACCCUUAUACUUAUAAUAUUAUAAGUUAAUAAUAUANNNNNNNNNNNNNNNNNNNNNNNNNNNNNNNNNNNNNNNNNNNNNNNNNNNNNNNNNNNNNNNNNNNNNNNNNNNNNNNNNNNNNNNNNNNNNNNNNNNNNNNNNNNNNNNNNNNNNNNNNNNNNNNNNNNNNNNNNNNNNNNNNNNNNNNNNNNNNNNNNNNNNNNNNNNNNNNNNNNNNNNNNNNNNNNNNNNNNNNNNNNNNNNNNNNNNNNNNNNNNNNNNNNNNNNNNNNNNNNNNNNNNNNNNNNNNNNNNNNNNNNNNNNNNNNNNNNNNNNNNNNNNNNNNNNNNNNNNNNNNNNNNNNNNNNNNNNNNNNNNNNNNNNNNNNNNNNNNNNNNNNNNNNNNNNNNNNNNNNNNNNNNNNNNNNNNNNNNNNNNNNNNNNNNNNNNNNNNNNNNNNNNNNNNNNNNNNNNNNNNNNNNNNNNNNNNNNNNNNNNNNNNNNNNNNNNNNNNNNNNNNNNNNNNNNNNNNNNNNNNNNNNNNNNNNNNNNNNNNNNNNNNNNNNNNNNNNNNNNNNNNNNNNNNNNNNNNNNNNNNNNNNNNNNNNNNNNNNNNNNNNNNNNNNNNNNNNNNNNNNNNNNNNNNNNNNNNNNNNNNNNNNNNNNNNNNNNNNNNNNNNNNNNNNNNNNNNNNNNNNNNNNNNNNNNNNNNNNNNNNNNNNNNNNNNNNNNNNNNNNNNNNNNNNNNNNNNNNNNNNNNNNNNNNNNNNNNNNNNNNNNNNNNNNNNNNNNNNNNNNNNNNNNNNNNNNNNNNNNNNNNNNNNNNNNNNNNNNNNNNNNNNNNNNNGUUUUUCAUGGUGGAAAUUGGUGAAUCGUCAUUCACCUACCUUCAAAUAUCUUAUAGCUUAGAUUACGGCAUCCCUCUUCUAAGUUAUAAAAUAUUGUGUUGGGUCCUAGCCUUAAUACUACAUUUGGGUGUUUUAUUAAGGACUAUCUCUAAAUCUAAUCUAAUCUAUUCCCUCUUCUUUUCAGAUGUCUUCCAAUAACAAUGCUUCUGGCUCUAACCCUACUAGCUCUUUCUCUCUCAUGAAUCUUUGUGGGAGAGUCAUCUUCGAUGGAUCCAACUUUAUUGAUUGGAUUAGGAACAUCAGGAUGGUCACUCGGUAUGAGAAAAAAGAAUAUGUUCUUGACAAGGAGCUAAAGGUACCUGAGCCAACUGCUACUCCUGAAGAGCUUGCUGAAUAUGAGGUACAUGAAAGAGAUGCUACAAAAGUGGCAUGCAUCAUGAUGGCCACCAUGACAGCCGAGCUCCAAAAGUCCUAUGAGGACUAUUAUCCUUUUGAGAUGCACCAGGACUUGAUGGACCGCUACCAUCAAAGUGCUCGUCAAGAGCGAUAUGAAAUAAUCUCCUCCAUGAUAACAACCCGAAUGAAGGAUGGUGAACCCAUCACGGGCCACAUGCAGAAAAUGCAAAGGUAUGUGGACCGUUUACUGAAGCUGAAUGUGAACUUCCCCGAGGAGUUAGCAAUAGACAUCAUUUUGCACUCCUUACCAUCGUGUUAUGAUCAAUUCCGCAUGACAUAUCACAUGAACAAGGAAGAAGUCACCCUCAGUAAACUUCAGGGACUCUUGAAGACCGCGGAAAGUGGUCUAAAGGGUAAGUCGGUUGUUACUACUCCUACUCCUACUCCAACUGCGGCCAAUGUCUUGGCAAUCGGGCAUGGCAAAGGGAAGAAGAGAAAGAACCCUUCUAAGGGUACCAAGGGUAAGACCCUUGAAGGCUCCUCUUCAAGCAAAACCAAGAAAGGUUUUGUCACUCCUUCUGCUAACCCUAAUGAGGCUGAAUGCUUCUAUUGUCAUGAAAAGUCGCACUGGAAGCGAAACUGCCCAAAGUACCAGCAAGAUGUGAAGGAUGGGAAAGUAAAACCCAACCAUGCAGGUAUAUACACUAUAUUGUCUAAUAACUCACCUCAUUCUAAGUCUUGGGUCCUUGAUACAGGUUGUGGUAUUCACAUAUGUUGUGAUUUGCAGGGACUAAGAAGAAGUGAGAAUGUGGAGCAAGGAAAGAUAAACUUGAUCAUGGGAAACAGGAAAGCUUCACCUGUCACCAAGAUAGGAGUUUAUUCCUUAGGGCUAAAUAGUGGGUUUACAUUAGAGUUGAAUAAGUGUUAUUAUUCGCCAGAAAUGGAAAGAAAUGUUAUUUCCUUUCAUGCAGCGUAUAAACAAGGUUUUACCUUUUAUUUUGAUAAUAAUAAUGGUAGUAUUGAUGCUUUCUUUAAUAAUGUUCAUUAUUUUAAAGCAUUACCUUGUGAUGACGUGUAUGAAACUGUAUCUGUUGUAGAUAAUCUAGGAAAUAAUGUAUUUUAUAUUGACUCUUCCACUUGCUUAGAUAAAGCCUCUUUAUGGCUUUGUUAUCUUGGACAUGUAAGCAAGAAACGCAUAGGCCAACUCCAAAAGGAUGCAGUCUUGGAGUCAUUUGACCUAAGGUCAGAUGAUAAUUGUGAAUCUUGUUUACUGGCACUUGUGCUACAGGAGAAGGUUUGUUGGACCUCAUACACACGGAUGUGUGUGGACCCUUCAUAACCGCCACAAGAGAUGCUAAUCGGUUUUCUGUGACUUUCACUAAUGAUUUUAGUAGAUAUGGAUAUGUCUACUUAAUCAAGCAUAAGUCAGAAACCUUUGAGAGAUUCAAAGAGUUUAAGCAAGAAGUGGAGAAUCAGUUGGGCAGGAACAUUAAGAUGCUUCGAUCCGAUCGUGGUGGUGAGUAUCUUAGUACUGAGUUCCUUGACUAUCUUAAGGAAUGUGGGAUUUUCUCUCAAUUGACACCUCCUAGGACACCACAAUUGAAUGGUGUAGCUGAGAGGCGCAAUCGGACCAUGUUGGACAUGGUUCGUUCCAUGAUGAGUCGAGCUUUGCUACCAAUCUCAUUUUGGGGGUAUGCCUUAGAGACUGCCGCCCAUAUCCUUAAUCUAGUCCUUACAAAGAAGGUUGCCAAAACACCUCACGAGAUGUGGACUGGAAAAGUUCCCAAUCUAGACCACAUCAAGAUUUGGGGUUGUGAGGCUUUCGUGAGACGCGAGACUCACGAUAAGCUCGAACCCCGAAGCGAAAGGUGUAUUUUCAUCGGCUAUCCACAAAAAUCCUUUGGCUACAUCUUCUACAGACCCAGUGAUAAUGUGGUCUUUAUAGCAAGAAGAGGAUUCUUUCAAGAGAGAGAAUUCAUGAGUCAAGGAGACAAUGGGAGGCAAAUUGACCUUGAGGAACUUUUAGAGUCAAGUGAUGAAGAAACCUCAAAACCUAUCCCUCAACCUAAGGAGGAAACUCCUGUUGAGUCGACUGAAGAAUCUAUACCUCUGAGGCGUUCCACCAGAGUUAGGAAUGCACCUGAGCAUUAUUAUGGUUUCCAUAUUACUGCAGAAGGUGAGACACUUAUUAAUGAUAACACACUGGUAAAUCUAGAUGAGCCUAACAGCAGCACGGAAGCCAUGGCAGGCCCUGAGGCUGCUAAAUGGAAAGAGUCUAUGGAUAGCGAGAUACAGUCCAUGUAUGACAAUCAAGUUUGGAACUUGGUUGACAAUGUACCUGAUCGUAAGAUAGUUGGGUGCAAAUGGAUCUUCAAGAAGAAGACCGACAUGGAUGGUAAUUUACACACUUAUAAGGCACGACUGGUUGCAAAGGGUUAUUCUCAAACUCCGGGUGUUGAUUAUGAUGAGACCUUUUCACCAGUGGCCAAGAUUAAGUCUAUUAGGGUUCUGUUAGCCAUUGCUGCAUUUCAUGACUAUGAAAUAUGGCAAAUGGAUGUCAAAACCGCUUUCCUUAAUGGAAAGUUGGCUGAAGAUGUUUACAUGGUUCAGCCAGAGGGUUUUGUCAGUACAGAGUACCCCAAUAGAGUGUGUAAACUCGAGAAAUCCAUUUAUGGAUUGAAACAGGCACCUCGCAGAUGGAAUCUUUGCUUUGAUGAGAAAGUCAAAGAAUUUGGCUUUUCAAGGAGUGAAGAUGAAUCUUGUGUCUAUAUCAAGGCUAGUGGGAGCAUAGUCAGCUUUUUGGUACUGUAUGUGGAUGACAUACUACUCAUAGGAAAUGACAUCCCAACCCUGCAGGAAGUAAAGUCCUGGCUUGGGAAGUGUUUCGCUAUGAAGGACCUUGGUGAAGCUGCCUAUAUCCUAGGGAUAAGGAUUUUGAGAAACAGGAGUAAAAGACUAAUUGGACUUAGUCAAAGCACCUAUGUGGACAAAGUGUUGAAAAGAUUCAACAUGCAUAACUCCAAGAAAGGUGAGUUACCCAUUCAGAGUAACGCCAGAUUGAGUAAGACACAAAGCCCUAGUACUGAGGCUGAGAUAGCAGAAAUGAGUCGACUACCUUAUGCUUCAGCUGUAGGAUCGAUCAUGUAUGCUAUGACGUGUACUCGACCUGAUGUAGCCUUUGCUUUGAGCAUGGUUAGCAGGUAUCAGGGGAACCCUGGCAAGGCACACUGGACUGCGGUAAAGAAUAUCCUCANUUUAUCUCGAGUGAUCGUGAGACGGUAAUAUCAUAUAAGUCUUCAAACCUAGAGAUAUGAUUGGUUACUUACGAGUUGGUUAUGCAUUGAUUGUACGAAAACACAUUGGUAACUCGAUGUUAUAAAACGUGGUUUUGUGUAUAAUUCAAUGAGUGGUAGAACAAACAUAUGAUUCAAAGUUUAUCUAUUCCUUCUUGGAUUAGAAGUUGAUAUUUGGGACCCUUGAUGAUUUUGUUUUGACUUAUGUACCGGGCCCGGUCAGAACAAAAUUGAUGUGUUCAAUUAAGUUCUAUGUCAAACAAAUCGAAAACCGGGAAACAAAUUUUGGACAAUAAGUAAGACCAUGUUCCAUGUAUUUGUCCGGCUGAUAUCUAGAAUAGAGGAUUAUAUGAUCACUUAUCUAAAAUGGUGCGUUCAAGUUCAACAAAGUUUAAAGAGCUACGAUUGCUGACCGGUUCCUGAAUUCAUACUUGCAACUAUAGUUAAUAGACUUAUCCAAGUGGGAGACUGUUGGAUAUAGUGUCUAAGUCCAUAACUAUAUUUGGUAUGUACUUGACCCGACCCGGCAUGGUCCAUUUGGGUUGCACUUCACCCGAACAAUUUAUGGAUAAUCUUUGGAGAAUAGUAUAAGUUAUGAUUUAUUAAUAUAUUAUAAGUUCUAAUAUAUUAAUAUAAGAUCAUAUUAUUUAAUUAGUAUUGAUCUAUAAUUAAUCUAGGAUUAAUUUAGAGAUCAAAAGUAUUACUAAUUAAAUAUGGGCUUCUUUAUUUAUAUAGUGUGGGCUAAUGCUUAUUUGGAAUGGGCUAGGCUUGCAUGGAAAGUCCAUGGAUACUCCAUGGAGCUUUAACCCAUGGAUCUCAUGGAAAUGAAGAGACAUGGGUAUUAGGGUUUACAUGGAUGUAAACCUAAUCCACCACACUAUAUAAAGGAGGCUUUGGUUCUUGAAAUUACACAAGUUUAUGUGAGUAAAGCAAGAGGUCCGAUUUCAAGAUAGUUGUGACUAUUCUCUCAACGUUCCAAAGUUUGUGGUGAUUUGUGAUUCCAUUUGAGGCAUUCACACUAUUGGUGCUAGGCUCUAAAACUCCAAGCAAUCAACUACAACUACAAGGUAAGUAAUUCUUCUAGCUUUAUUGGAUUCAAGUUCUUCAUGCCAUGCUAGAUAGGAUAAGAACCUUGGAAAAUAAUUAUUUGCAUGUAUCUUAGUCAAACAUAGAUACAAGGUUUAUUAGGGUUGCAUGUACACUUAGGAAGUGUUAGAAUGCUCAAAACCCAUCAUAAACAAGUACUCAAACCAUUUUGAGGGUAGGCGUUGCUGCAUCAUGAAUUCUACUUUUCUGUUACUUGUAUUUAACUUUUGAACAAACAACGUUUGUAAACAAUGUAAAGUCGUAAUCUCAAUGUUUGAUGUUUUGGGUUGCUACGAAGCAUUUAUAUUCAAUUGUUAUGAUACUACAAUGGUGUCAUCCACCCUUGGACGUUUCCGUCGUUUCGGGGUGUGGCAAGAUUUAUUAUCCUUCUUCCAUUAUGAAUGAACUUACUUUUAGUCCUUCAAACCCUGUUCCCGACUUCAUUCCUAAUAUCACUAAGCAUGUUGUUCGUACUAUUGAUCAAAUUUUCAACUCUUAUUCUGAAUCUGAUGAUCAGGUUGUCACCUCUGAAGAAGGUGAGCCGUCGAACUCCUUAAAUCAUGAAGAUUCAAUUCCAAAUAACAUGAAUGAAAGUACUAAUCCUUGAAUUCUUCGAGAUCAUCCUAAAUCCCAAAUCACUGAAGAUGUAAAUGUUGGAUUAGUGUCUAAGUACAUAACUAUUUUGGUAUGUACUUGACCCGAUGGUGCAUGGUCCUUUUGGGUUGCCUUCACCAAAACAACUUGAUAGGAUGAAUUAUGGAGAGAAAGGAUUAAAUAUGAUUUAUUAAUAUAUUAUGAGAAUAAUAUAUUAAAGGAGAAAUCAUAUUGUUUAAUUAAUAUUAGUCAAGAAUUAAUAAGAAUUAAGUUUGUGACUAAAAGAGAUUAAUUAAACUUAAGGGACUAGAAUUGUAAUUAUAAGAUAAUUGCAAUUGGGCUAUGGAUUGCCUUAUAUUAUAAGGUUGGAAGAAUUCUAUGGGGAAACCCAUUAGAAAUCGUCCAAGGCCUUUAAGGAAAGGAGUCCAUGGGUUGCUUAGGGCUUAAAUAUCCAAAUUAGGGUUUCCUUGUUAGAUAACCCUAAUAGCCUCACUAUUUAAAGAGUCCUUAUGCCCCAAAAACGUGGUGAACAAUUUGGUUAGGGUUUCCACACGUUUUGGGCAGCCUCCUUCUCUUCUCCUCUUCAUCCUCUUGCUUUUGGUGUUUGUGAACCAUUAGAGGAGUGACAUUUGUGACUCUAAGCUUUCUAAAGUCAAUACAAGAAGGAUUUGGGAUUGUUAUUGCUAUAUAACAAUCAAAGUAAUAUCUUAAACCCAUUCUUAUGUUAAUAUGAUUACUUGUAUGCUAGAAUUAGGGUUUAUAGUCUUGGAUAACUUGCAUGUACAAUAGAGAAACCUAGAUCCAAGCAUUAGGGUUUGUAUGAGCACAUAGGAUGUUCUUAUGACCAAAACCCAUCAGUGGUAUCAGAUCCUUGAUUGGUUUCUAUUGUAUUGAUGCAUUAUGUAGCUGAAAAUCAUAUUUUGGCUUACUGUUCGACCUGAAUUGGCGAGUCACUACUUGGACUCGGCGAGUCAGCCCUACUCGGCGAGUUCCAAAGUGUGACUCGGCGAGUCGGAGCGUCAGACAGAGGAAAUUUCGGAUUUUGUUGCUGUUUUGCUUAAGGAUAAUUACCAUAUUCGUUUUAAACCUAUAAAAUACGAAUUUUAUUGUUUCUUAAAGAAUAUCCUUGCCAAAACACAAGAUAAUUACCAAUUGAUUAGAUAAUAACUUCCUUAUAUGAUUAAAGUUGAUUAUUUGUAUUAAUUGGGUAACUUAUUUUGCAAGAAAUUGAAAUUAGGUCAAAUAUAGAUAAUGAUGAAAUUAAUUGUUUAAUUUAUAUUAUUUGUUAUUUGAUCCUUGUGUUAUGAAAAGUUUCAAUUUUCCCCCUUUAGGUUUUAUAGUUUAAAUUUAAACUCAAAAGUUUAGUUUUGAAAUUUAAAUAGUUGAAACCCUAAUGUUUUGAAAAAGGUUCCAAAACUUGCCCUCAAGUUUUGGAAUUUAAAUUUUGAUUAAAAGUUUAAUUUUGAUGUAUAUUUAAAUUCUAAACCUAAAUGUUUUGAAAUGUUUCAAAACUUGCCCUCAAGUUUUGGAAUUUAAAAGUUGAUUAAAAGGUUUAAUUUAGGAAUGUUAAAUUCUAAAACCCUAGUAUUGUUUUGAAAAGUUCAAAUCACACCCUUAUGGUUUUAUUAAUUAAUUAAGGUGUAUAAUUAAAAGAGGUUUAAUAAAUCCAUAAAAGUUUGGGUUUACAAUUUAAUUGAAUUAAAAGUAUAAUUGUUAAAUUUGACCUCCUAGUAUUUUAAAAGUGUAAAAUACACCCUAUACUAUAUAUAACAUUAAAAGUCUAACAUUAUAUAUAUGUAUGAGUAAAAGUCAGUCUUACCGUUAGUAGGCCUCAUUCACGAAGCUGGUCUAUAAGGGGUGUUUAAGGAAAUUGCCUAUAAAAUGGCGAUUGAAUGGGUAUCCACUCUUACCCACCGCACUCUUGACUAGUGGAGGGUCGUUAGCCGAACGGGUAGGAUAGGACAAAAACUUUCCAUUAUAAGUAUAAUGAAGUACAAAAGUAACUAAAUGUUUUACAAAUUCCCAAUCUUAGUUACUUAGGCAAAAGUGAAUUGAUGCAAUUCCAUGAAAUUACACUUUGUGCCCUUGCGAAGACGUUAGUGGAGCGUGUGUGGUUAACCGGCACACUAAAUGGUUCUAAGCAAAGGUAGCAAAGGGUGACUCAAUGUUUGUCAUAGUUCGGUGGAGCGUGUGUGGUUUACCGGCACAUCGAAUAGGUGACUGUAACAUGUGAGGGCACCAUGUAAGUUUGCAUGGUUAUUCACACCCGCUUUGUGAUCCUCGGCAUCCCAGUCACAAACAAGAGGGGCAUAUCGAGAUUUAAACAUGCCAUUGAAAGUUCAAUGAAUCUCAAAGGAUCUAGGAGUUUUCAUAGAUUUAAAACUUAAAUUUCUUUUUCGUUUUUCAUGGUGGAAAUUAGUGAAUCGUCAUUCACUUACCUUCAAAUAUUCUGCAAUUAGGGUUACGGCAUCCCUCUCCCGAGUUGUAGAAUAUUGUGUUGGGUCCUAGCCUUAGUAUCUCAUUUGGGUGAUUUACUAAGGACUCAAUCAAUCAACUAACUUGAAUUCGUUUUCUCCCGUUUUGUAGAUGUCAAAGUUCGACAACUAUGGUCUUCCCAAAUCCCGUGGAACAAGCUUUCCACAUGAAGAUGAUAUUCCACGAUUCGAUCGAGGAACAAGAGAUCAUGCUUCUCUUCCUCCACCUCCUCCAAUUAUUCUCCCUAACCCACAAGUUCGAAGGCUUGAAAAGUUCAAGCUCACUCAAGCCCUUUUGGCAAGUAAAGAUAAAGAAGGAAAGUCGGUGUGUGCACACGUCCUAGGGAUGAAGUCACACAUUGAUAGGUUAAGGAUGUUGGGAUUCACUGUCUGUGAGGAGAUGGCCGUUGACUCAGUUCUUCAGUUACUUCCUAACUCAUAUAGUGAGUUCGUAAGAGAGUACUAUAUGAUGAACUGCGACGUGUCCCUUAUAGAUCUCACAUAUAUGCUUAUUGUUGCUGAAUCAACAAUGGUUUGGCGCAAUAGAAAAGCAAAGUUGAUUGGUGAAUCUGCCUUCAAGACCUUUAUGGAUAUAGACAAUGGCAACGAAAGUCAUGCUAUGAUCGAAAAGUUUGAUCAUAAGAGAAAGGCAAUGUCUGAACUAGUUCCAUGUAAUGCUCCAAAAGAGUCAAUUUGCUUUUAUUGCCAAGAGAAGGGGAAUUGGAGACGAAGCUGCCCUAUUUACCUAAGAGAUCUAAGAGAUGGGAGAGUCGAAACGUAUGGCUCUAAUAUAGGUAAAAUCCAUUAACUAACUCUUUUAAGCUUCUAUUCUAG